GACGAACGCUGGCGGCGUGCUUAACACAUGCAAGUCGAACGGAAAGGCCCUGCUUUUGUGGGGUGCUCGAGUGGAGACCGGGUGAGUAACACGUAAGUAAGCUGCACCUGACCUUGGGAUAACCUCAUGCAACUGGGGCUAAUACCGGCUAGGAGCUACCGCCGCUUGGUGGGGGUGGGAUAGUUUCGGCGGUUGGGGAUGGAAUCGCGGCUUAUCAGCUUGUUGGUGGGGUAGUGGCAUACCAAGGCAUUGACGGGUAGCCGGGCUGGGAGGGCGACCGGCCACGUUAGGACUGGGAUACGGCCCAGACCCGUACGGUAGGCAGCGGUGGAGAGGAGUGCACAGUGGGCUGAGGGCUGAUGCAACACAGCCGCGUGGGGUAAGACGUGCAGCGGUUAGGAAACCGCUUUUGCUUUAGACGAGACGUGAGUGACAGUAAUGGGUGAAGAAGCACCGGCUAACUACGUG
rnacentral:rRNA from 1 species